AGGACACUUUAAUUAGUGAGCUAAAGUCACUGAGGGGCUUAAAGUGAUGAUCUAGUAACACCCAAAGGAAAAAGAAAACAGCCCAGAAAGGCGAAGACCCCAGAUCUUAUGGUGACACUGGCAUGUGUCUCAUUCUUUACUCAAAGAGUGAAAACAGGACCAAUACCUACAAGUUGUCUUCUAACCUCCACGUGCAACGGCAACCCAUGCGUCCAUGCACACACAACAUUAAAUAAAUGGCCGGGCAAUGGUGGCACAGGCCUUUAUGCCAGCACUCAGGAGGCAGAGGCAGGCAGAUCUCUGAAUUUGAGCCCAGCCUGGUCUACAGAGCGAGUUCCAGGACAGCCAGGACCAUACAAAGAGAUCCCAUGUCAAAAAAACAAAACAAAACAAAACAAAAACAAAACAAAACAAAAAAAAAAAACUAAACUAAGUUCUAGCUGGGAUCUGGGCACCUUCCAUAUCCAUCUGGAGGUGAGUACUGCACGUUCUCUCCUGUCCCCCUCCCUUAGGGCCCUCUUGCCCUCCUGGAUGGUCAGAUGGGCAAAGUGUGGAACUCUGAGAAUGUGUCCCAGGAACUGUCAGCGUCCUUGGCCCGUGCAAUAGAUCUGCGGGCACAGCUGCAGUCUCUGCGGCGGCAGCUGGAACAGGUGACUCAGAAGGGCCGAACUAGACGUGUUCAGAGUGCCGAGCUGUCCAGAGAACUGUGCAAGGCUCACAGGUGGGACUCGGCAUGGCACUCCCUUCUAAGAGAAGCAGCGGGCAAGCCCACUGCUAUUGGCUUUUGUCCAGCUAGGUUCUGUCCUAGCUCAGCCAGGCAUCUCCCACCUCUUCUGCUUUCAGCGCUCUGGCCUUGGCCUUCAGAGGAGCCCACCGGAAGCAGGAAGAGCAACGCCGGAAGUUGGAGCAGCAGGUGGCUCGGUUGCAGGCUCAGCAGGCAGAAGAGCUGGCAGUGCUGACAGCCACCGCUAGGGCCCUGGGGAAGCCUGGGGCACCCCAGCCAGCCCAGACUUUCCUGUAGGGCCCGGACCACGUUUGCAUGUGACACAGAGGUGGCUGGAGUGUCACAGUGUCCUGUGGUGGGCGGAGAGGUGGUCCAGCAACUAAGAGCAGGGUCUCCAAUUGAGGGCACUUGAGUUUAAUUGCCAGCCUCAGCAGCCAUGGCGCCUGUGACUCCGGGUCAAGGAGAUCUGGCACCCCCUUCUGGCCUCUGCAGGCUCUGUACUAAUGUUCCCACACACAUGUAAUUAGACAAAGUAACUUACAAACCUGUCCUUUGUCCCUGGCACCUGGAGCGUCUCUUCAAGAGGGGACUGAGGUGGGACAGGCUUAGCUUAAGGGUGUGGCAGGGAGGCUUGUUCCCAGGGAGAGGAACCCCAGGCUGCUUUGGAACUGGCAUUUACAGGAAGUAGAGGGCUGGUGGUUGCUCAGCAGUAGGGCACCUGCUGAGAUUGUUUGAAGCCCCCAGAGCUGUCUCUGUGUGCUCCCAACAGCCUGCACUAAGGAGGCCUGCAUUGGUCCCAGCCCUUAUAGAACAUGUGGGAGUCUUCUGCAGAAUACAUGGAGUGGGGUGGGGGGAAACAAAGGCCUUGGUGGGUGGAGUAUAGGCCUAGCACGCACAGGGCCCUGAGUUCCAAACCCAGUGACAUAUACACCUGGAAGUCUGUGGCUGCCUGUGAUGCCAGCACUCAGAGCCUAAGGCUAUCCCUGACUACACAGUGUGUUUAAGGCCAGCCUGGACUUUUUGAGACAGUAUCAGAGAAAGAAGUUAAUGAGGGGCUGGAGACAAGGCUCAGUGGUUAGGAGCACUGGCUCUCUUGCAGAGGGCCUGGGAUCCAUUUCCAGCACCCAACGUGGCAGCUCACAACUGUCUGUAACUCCAGUUCCAGGGGUCCAGUACCCUUUUCUGGCUUCUGUGGACAUCAGGUAGACACAUUACAUGGCCACAAAUGCAGACAAAACACACCUAAAUAUAAAAACAAAAUGAAUGAAUGAGAAAAGUGUAACCAGAGAGAUGGCUGACUGGGCAAGGGUGCUUAUUGCGGAGUGACAAUUUGAGGUCUGCAUUCAAUUCCCAGCUCCCACAUAAAGGUGGAAUGAGGAUGGACGCCACAAAGUUGUCCUCUGACAUCCACAAUACCACCCGUUGUUGCUGUUGUUAAAUUGAGAGUCAGAGGAGAUACCUCAGCAGUUAAGAGCACUUACUGCUCUAGAGGAGGACCAGAGUCCAGUUCCCAGCACCCAUAGUAGCUCACAACCACCUGUAAUUCCAGUUCUAGGGGAUCUGAUGCUUCUGGCCGCCUAGGACGCCCACACACAGAUACACAUGAUUGAAAAUAGUAAGAAUAAAAUAAAACUUAAUGUACUGCUAUGGUAGAGA
ensembl:lncRNA